CCCUUAGAGUUUGAUCCUGGCUCAGGAUGAACGCUAGCGGCAGGCCUAAUACAUGCAAGUCGAACGAGAUUCAAGACUUCGGUUUUGAUGAAAGUGGCGCACGGGUGCGUAACGCGUAUGCAACCUACCUUGUACAGGGGGAUAGCCCGGAGAAAUUCGGAUUAAUACCCCAUAGCAUUACCAGAUGGCAUCUGAAGGUAAUUAAAGAUUUAUCGGUACAAGAUGGGCAUGCGUGACAUUAGUUAGUUGGUAAGGUAACGGCUUACCAAGACUAUGAUGUCUAGGGGUUCUGAGAGGAUGAUCCCCCACACUGGUACUGAGAUACGGACCAGACUCCUACGGGAGGCAGCAGUAGGGAAUAUUGGUCAAUGGGCGAGAGCCUGAACCAGCCAUGCCGCGUGCAGGAAGACGGCCUUCUGAGUUGUAAACUGCUUUUAUACGGGAAGAAAAUGCCCUUGCGAGGGAAAUUGCCGGUACCGUAUGAAUAAGCACCGGCUAACUCCGUGCCAGCAGCCGCGGUAAUACGGAGGGUGCAAGCGUUGUCCGGAUUUAUUGGGUUUAAAGGGUGCGUAGGCGGGUCUUUAAGUCAGUGGUGAAAGCCUGCGGCUCAACCGUAGAACUGCCAUUGAUACUGGAGGCCUUGAGUGUACUAGAGGUAGGCGGAAUUUAUGGUGUAGCGGUGAAAUGCAUAGAUACCAUAAAGAACACCGAUAGCGUAGGCAGCUUACUGGAGUACAACUGACGCUG
rnacentral:rRNA from 1 species